rnacentral:tRNA from 1 species
GCUUAGCUGGCUUAGUUGGUAGAGCAUGUAACUCUUGAUCACAGGGUUGUGAGUUCCAGACCCACACUGGGUU